AAUGGCCCUUAUCGAAGCUGCAGCAACCUCCACGUAGCUGCUGUGGUCAAAAAGAAUUGUUUGUUUUUCAUUUUUUAAAUAAACUGACAGAU